CUCUUCUUGAAUAUAUUUUGAUGUAUGGCCUGCCCACUGAAUAUUGAAGGGCCGCGGUAUUUUGACCGUGCAAAGGUAGCAUAAUCAUUAGUCUUUUAAUUGUAGGCUGGAAUGAAUGGUUUGACGAGGUGUUAACUGUCUUUAAUUUUUUUUAUUGAAUUUAAAUUUUAGGUUAAAAUGCCUAAAUAUUUUUUUGGGACGAGAAGACCCUAUAGAGUUUUAUAUAUUUUUAUUUUUUUGUGUGUUAAUUUUUGAUGUAAAGAUUUAUUUUGUUGGGGUGAUGGGAAGAUUGAAUUAACUCUUUUUAUUUAAAUUAUAUUCAUUUAUAUGUAUUUGAUCCAUUUUUAUUGAUUAUAAGACUAAAUUACC
rnacentral:rRNA from 1 species